UCUCGCCGAUAACCAUCGGGUUUGGAACUCAGCCACUUAGAUCAAGAUAAAAAAAGCAAAAGAAGAGAAAAGACGGAAAAGAAGAAUAGAAAAGAGAAGAAGAUCUCCCCGAGAAUAGACCGGCCAGAAGGUCGCUGGGGUGGGAAAGAGAAAGAGGAGAGAUCCAAGAUUGUGGUGGACGGACUUCCGGGGAAAGGUUUGAGUUUGUUUCUGGAGAGGUGGAUGCUAAAAUUUUGAUCGAGUUUGGGGGAGAGCUUUCAGCAGGAGAAGAGUGUAGAGAUGAAGAAGGGAUAUUCUUGGUAUAUUCAGUCAGUAGCUUUGAAAGCACCUGUGUAUUCAAUUGGACCAAUUUAGGAGUGGAGUGCCUUCUGUGUAAUAAAAAGUUUCUGGUCAAGGUGUGGACUGUUGAUAGAAGUUGAGUCUCACUGUUGGCAUUUCUCUAUCAGAUGACAUCUAUCAAUGGAAACCGGGAACUAUGAGUAUAACACUCGCUGUAUUUUCUCAAUUGCUGCAAUUCUCUAAAAUUCUCAACUUUCCGGUCUCAAUUUAUCAAACAAUGAGGAUCGAUUUGUGCUUCAGUCUAAGGCAAUGAGAAUGAGUCUCAGACUAGGUGGAAGUUUGAAGGUUCAAGACUUGAAUGCCAUAAUACGCAUCUUUGGGAUGCUGAAAACAUGACAUGAUCUUUCCCAGCAAAGGGUGACAAGUUGUUGGCGUCGCAAAAUGCAGAGAGCCAUCAGAGAUUCAGAAAGGUUUAGGUAUGCAAGGGAUACAUCAUUCGAAAAGAGUCAUUUGCAUUGUGUGCUUCUUCAGACAGUUUUUCAGGUCAGUUACUAUGAGUACCUGACUCUGAGGCAUGGUUUUAUUUCGGCACAUUUAGCACCUGAGAUCAUUUAUUCUCAUGCUAAUGGGUGAGAGAAGAGGAUUUGGCAAAGGACUGGAAACUGCACUUGAAGCAUCUUCGUUGUACUUUAUGAUUUUAUGAGGAGGUGAAAGUGGUCACUCGAGACCAUAGGAAGAAGGCAUAGAUGGACGGGGAGAUAUGAAGCUCAUUUAUGGAACAAAGGGUCUUGGAAUCCAACACAAAGGAGGAAGAAGGGAAAACAGGGGCUUAUGACGAAGAAGAAUCCACAACAAAAGCAUAUGAGUUGGCAGCACUCAAGUAGUGGGGAACAUCAACUUUUACAAAUUUUCUGGUGUCGGAUUAUGAGAAUGAAAUUGAUCUGUUGAACACUAACAAAAAGAAGAGUACUUGGCCUUUCUAAGAAGCUAAGAGCUUGUCCGGUAACGUUUUUAAAAAUGAUUUUUCAAAAACCGAUUUUGAAAAUAAAAACGAGAAAACAAGAUUAGAUUUUUGAGAUCCGAAAAUG